GUACCCUGGUAGUCCACGCUGUAAACGAUGUCGACUUGGAGGUUGUUCCCUUGAGGAGUGGCUUCCGGAGCUAACGCGUUAAGUCGACCGCCUGGGGAGUACGGCCGCAAGGUUAAAACUCAAAUGAAUUGACGGGGGCCCGCACAAGCGGUGGAGCAUGUGGUUUAAUUCGAUGCAACGCGAAGAACCUUACCUACUCUUGACAUCCAGAGAACUUAGCAGAGAUGCUUUGGUGCCUUCGGGAACUCUGAGACAGGUGCUGCAUGGCUGUCGUCAGCUCGUGUUGUGAAAUGUUGGGUUAAGUCCCGCAACGAGCGCAACCCUUAUCCUUUGUUGCCAGCGGUUCGGCCGGGAACUCAAAGGAGACUGCCAGUGAUAAACUGGAGGAAGGUGGGGAUGACGUCAAGUCAUCAUGGCCCUUACGAGUAGGGCUACACACGUGCUACAAUGGCAUAUACAAAGAGAAGCGACCUCGCGAGAGCAAGCGGACCUCAUAAAGUAUGUCGUAGUCCGGAUUGGAGUCUGCAACUCGACUCCAUGAAGUCGGAAUCGCUAGUAAUCGUGGAUCAGAAUGCCACGGUGAAUACGUUCCCGGGCCUUGUACACACCGCCCGUCACACCAUGGGAGUGGGUUGCAAAAGAAGUAGGUAGCUUAAC
rnacentral:rRNA from 2 species